rnacentral:rRNA from 1 species
GACGAACGCUGGCGGCGUGCUUAACACAUGCAAGUCGAACGGAAAGGCCCUGCUUUUGUGGGGUGCUCGAGUGGCGAACGGGUGAGUAACACGUGAGUAACCUGCCCUUGACUUUGGGAUAACUUCAGGAAACUGGGGCUAAUACCGGAUAGGAGCUCCUGCUGCAUGGUGGGGGUUGGAAAGUUUCGGCGGUUGGGGAUGGACUCGCGGCUUAUCAGCUUGUUGGUGGGGUAGUGGCUUACCAAGGCUUUGACGGGUAGCAGGCCUGAGAGGGUGACGGGACACAUUGGGACUGAGAUACGGCCCAGACUCCUACGGGGGGCAGCAGUGGGGAAUAUUGCACAAUGGGCGGAAGCCUGAUGCAGCAACGCCGCGUGCGGGAUGACGGCCUUCGGGUUGUAAACCGCUUUCGCUUGUGACGAAGCGUGAGUGACGGUAAUGGGUAAAGAAGCACCGGCUAACUACGUG